AUCGCCUCCUGCCUAUAGUGUCACAUUUUGUUUUCACUGUCACACACACACACACACACACACACACACACACACACACACACACACACACACACACACACACACACACACACACACACACACAUUGCUUCCUGCCUCAGAGAAAAGAUUUGAUCCAUUUUGUAGGACCUAUAACAGCUGAAAUAAAUAAAAAGCUGUUUAUGAGGUUUGUUUUUUGGGAGGGGUGGAUUAGUAAAGUCUCAGAGCAGACGUACCUCUGGUCAAACCUUUAAUGUCAUACCUCUCAGAAUAGUUAAACUAAGGCACAUGCAUGUCGUAAACGGAUUUACACACGAGUGAAAGAGCUGCUACAUUUUAACCAAAACAUGAGCGAAGAAGAAGAAUAAGAAGAACCGAUGGAUACGUGUUUUGAAUAUAGCCUUCCUCUGCUAAAAACAACGUUCGAAUUGAGACAUGAUGAGAUUUCAGGAAGAAAUGUCCGGUACAAAAACGGUACGGUAUUAUUUUUUGGAUCGUAAAGGUUUUUUUAUUUCUGCUCCGGGGAGUUUUGAUGAAGCAAUGGAUACGAGCACACACACACACACACACACACACACACACACACACACACACACACACACACACACACACACACACACAACUCUAAACACCCAUUCAUACAUUUGUCUACCUAUACAACAAAGCAAAUGACUCUGUAUUGUUUAUAAACAUUUUUUUUUUCGACCAAUCGCAACCGUUUUCUAUUCAAGAUUUUUUUAAACAGCUGUAUAAAAUGUAAACCCGCAUUUUCGGAGUCGUGAUUUGAGGUGUAACAAGCUAAGAUGACGGGUAAGUUUUUAACUCAAGACGCAAAUCUUUUUUUUCUCUUUCUGGUUUAACAUCUUUAUUUUCAGACGCUAUUGUCAUAUCGGACGGCGAGUGGGAAGAAAUUCCUAUUGAGGAAUUAACUUGUAAAACUCCGGUACCUUCCCCCCUGGAUGAUUUGUCUAAAAUUAAUCGCGCGGUCGAGAAUCUGAGUGAGUGGAUUUUAUAAAUAUAUACGUAACGUUCUUUUCUUCAGCUGAGAAAUAUCUCAUUUUACAGAAAAGGAGGGGGUUCAACCUUACCCCGGAAGUGAUAACUUUUACCCAACCACGCCUCCAUCCACCAGCCGAACCGUCUUACAUCCGUAUCAGCCCAGCCAUACCGUCAGAUCACACGCGAAUGCGAACGUGAAAGCUGUUCGUUACAGGACCAUCACGCCACAGACGAUCCUCGAAGCUGAGCAAAGGCCGACGGCCUACGCACCCCCAAUAUCUCAGCCCCCACCACCACCUCCAACCCCUUCUCAUGCGCAGACGGAUGAACAACAUCCGACAGCCGCUUCAAUAUCUCCGCCCACACCUCCUCCACCUCCUCCUCCUCCUCCUCCCCCAUCUCCUGCACAGG